rnacentral:rRNA from 1 species
UGCGGAGGGAUCAUUACCGAGUUUACAACUCCCAAACCCCUGUGAACAUACCUAUACGUUGCCUCGGCGGAUCAGCCCGCGCCCCGUAAAACGGGACGGCCCGCCCGAGGACCCCUAAACUCUGUUUUUAGUGGAACUUCUGAGUAAAACAAACAAAUAAAUCAAAACUUUCAACAACGGAUCUCUUGGUUCUGGCAUCGAUGAAGAACGCAGCAAAAUGCGAUAAGUAAUGUGAAUUGCAGAAUUCAGUGAAUCAUCGAAUCUUUGAACGCACAUUGCGCCCGCCAGUAUUCUGGCGGGCAUGCCUGUUCGAGCGUCAUUUCAACCCUCAAGCUCAGCUUGGUGUUGGGACUCGCGGUAACCCGCGUUCCCCAAAUCGAUUGGCGGUCACGUCGAGCUUCCAUAGCGUAGUAAUCAUACACCUCGUUACUGGUAAUCGUCGCGGCCACGCCGUUAAACCCCAACUUCUGAAUGUUGACCUCGGAUCAGGUAGGAAUACCCGCUGAACUUAAGCAUAUC